GACGAACGCUGGCGGCGUGCUUAACACAUGCAAGUCGAACGCUGAAGCCCUUUCGGGGGUGGAUGAGUGGCGAACGGGUGAGUAACACGUGGGUAAUCUGCCCUGCACUCUGGGAUAAGCCUUGGAAACGGGGUCUAAUACCGGAUAGGACACAUCGCCGCAUGGUGUGUGUGUGGAAAGUUCCGGCGGUGCAGGUUGAGCCCGCGGCCUAUCAGCUUGUUGGUGGGGUGAUGGCCUACCAAGGCGACGACGGGUAGCCGGCCUAAGAGGGUGACCGGCAACACUGGGACUGGGACACGGCCCAGACUCCUACAGGAGGCAGCAGUGGGGAAUCUUGCGCAAUGGGCGAAAGCCUGACGCAGCAACGCCGCGUGGGGGAUGACGGCCUUCGGGUUUUAAACCUCUUUCGACCGGGACGAAGGGUGACUGACGGUACCGGUAGAAGAAGCACCGGCUAACUACGUGCCAGCCGCCGCCGUAA
rnacentral:rRNA from 1 species